rnacentral:rRNA from 1 species
GACGAACGCUGGCGGCGUGCUUGACACAUGCAAGUCGAACGGAAAGGCCUGCUUUCCCUUGUGGAUUGCGGGUACUCGAGUGGCGAACGGGUGAGUAACACGUGAGUGAUCUGCCCCCAACUUGGGUAUAAGCCUGGGAAACUGGGUCUAAUUCCCGAUAGGACUGCAGGGUGGUGCCUGUGGUGGAAAACGAUUUUCUAGUGGUUGGGGAUGAGCUCGCGGCCUAUCAGCUUGUUGGUGGGGUAAUGGCCUACCAAGGCGGCGACGGGUAGCCGGCCUGAGAGGGUGGACGGCCACAUUGGGACUGAGAUACGGCCCAGACUCCUGCGGGAGGCAGCAGUGGGGAAUAUUGCACAAUGGGCGGAAGCCUGAUGCAGCGACGCCGCGUGGGGGAUGACGGCCUUCGGGUUGUAAACUCCUUUCGACCGCGAGGAAGCCACCUGGUUGGAAGGGUGGUGACGGUAGUGGUAGAAGAAGCACCGGCUAACUACGU